GCCUUCGUGGAUCAAGCGAGAUCGUUUCCGCAAUAUGAAGCUUCACCUUCGCGAUGUAUUCGGAAGAAAUAUGGGUUCGAGUCCCAUCGAGGGCC